rnacentral:rRNA from 1 species
UUGCUCUCGGGUGACGAGCGGCGGACGGGUGAGUAAUGUCUGGGAAACUGCCUGAUGGAGGGGGAUAACUACUGGAAACGGUAGCUAAUACCGCAUAACGUCGCAAGACCAAAGUGGGGGACCUUCGGGCCUCAUGCCAUCAGAUGUGCCCAGAUGGGAUUAGCUGGUAGGUGGGGUAACGGCUCACCUAGGCGACGAUCCCUAGCUGGUCUGAGAGGAUGACCAGCCACACUGGAACUGAGACACGGUCCAAAAUCCUACGGGAGGCAGCAGUGGGGAAUAUUGCACAAUGGGCGCAAGCCUGAUGCAGCCAUGCCGCGUGUGUGAAGAAGGCCUUCGGGUUGUAAAGCACUUUCAGCGGGGAGGAAGGCGGUGAGGUUAAUAACCUCAUCGAUUGACGUUACCCGCAGAAGAAGCACCGGCUAACUCCGUGCCAGCAGCCGCGGUAAUACGGAGGGUGCAAGCGUUAAUCGGAAUUACUGGGCGUAAAGCGCACGCAGGCGGUCUGUCAAGUGGGAUGGGAAAUCCCCGGGCUCAACCUGGGAACUGCAUUCGAAACUGGCAGGCUAGAGUCUUGUAGAGGGGGGUAGAAUUCCAGGUGUAGCGGUGAAAUGCGUAGAGAUCUGGAGGAAUACCGGUGGCGAAGGCGGCCCCCUGGACAAAGACUGACGCUCAGGUGCGAAAGCGUGGGGAGCAAACAGGAUUAGAUACCCUGGUAGUCCACGCUGUAAACGAUGUCGAUUUGGAGGUUGUGCCCUUGAGGCGUGGCUUCCGGAGCUAACGCGUUAAAUCGACCGCCUGGGGAGUACGGCCGCAAGGUUAAAACUCAAAUGAAUUGACGGGGGCCCGCACAAGCGGUGGAGCAUGUGGUUUAAUUCGAUGCAACGCGAAGAACCUUACCUGGUCUUGACAUCCACAGAACUUUCCAGAGAUGGAUUGGUGCCUUCGGGAACUGUGAGACAGGUGCUGCAUGGCUGUCGUCAGCUCGUGUUGUGAAAUGUUGGGUUAAGUCCCGCAACGAGCGCAACCCUUAUCCUUUGUUGCCAGCGGUCCGGCCGGGAACUCAAAGGAGACUGCCAGUGAUAAACUGGAGGAAGGUGGGGAUGACGUCAAUUCAUCAUGGCCCUUACGACCAGGGCUACACACGUGCUACAAUGGCAUAUACAAAGAGAAGCGACCUCGCGAGAGCAAGCGGACCUCAUAAAGUAUGUCGUAGUCCGGAUUGGAGUCUGCAACUCGACUCCAUGAAGUCGGAAUCGCUAGUAAUCGUAGAUCAGAAUGCUACGGUGAAUACGUUCCCGGGCCUUGUACACACCGCCCGUCACACCAUGGGAGUGGGUUGCAAAAGAA